rnacentral:rRNA from 1 species
GGCGCACGGGUGCGUAACGCGUAUGCAAUCUACCUUUUACAGAGGGAUAGCCCAGAGAAAUUUGGAUUAAUACCUCAUAGUAUAAUUGAAUGGCAUCAUUUAAUUAUUAAAGUCACAACGGUAAAAGAUGAGCAUGCGUCCCAUUAGCUAGUUGGUAAGGUAACGGCUUACCAAGGCUACGAUGGGUAGGGGUCCUGAGAGGGAGAUCCCCCACACUGGUACUGAGACACGGACCAGACUCCUACGGGAGGCAGCAGUGAGGAAUAUUGGACAAUGGGCGCAAGCCUGAUCCAGCCAUGCCGCGUGCAGGAUGACGGUCCUAUGGAUUGUAAACUGCUUUUGUACAGGAAGAAACACUGGUUCGUGAACCAGCUUGACGGUACUGUAAGAAUAAGGAUCGGCUAACUCCGUGCCAGCAGCCGCGGUAAUACGGAGGAUCCAAGCGUUAUCCGGAAUCAUUGGGUUUAAAGGGUCCGUAGGCGGUUUGGUAAAGUCAGUGGUGAAAGCCCAUCGCUCAACGGUGGAACGGCCAUUGAUACUGCUAGACUUGAAUUAUUAGGAAGUAACUAGAAUAUGUAGUGUAGCGGUGAAAUGCUUAGAGAUUACAUGGAAUACCAAUUGCGAAGGCAGGUUACUACUAAUAUAUUGACGCUGAUGGACGAAAGCGUGGGUAGCGAACAGGAUUAGAUACCCUGGUAGUCCACGCCGUAAACGAUGGAUACUAGCUGUUGGGCGCAAGUUCAGUGGCUAAGCGAAAGUGAUAAGUAUCCCACCUGGGGAGUACGUUCGCAAGAAUGAAACUCAAAGGAAUUGACGGGGGCCCGCACAAGCGGUGGAGCAUGUGGUUUAAUUCGAUGAUACGCGAGGAACCUUACCAAGGCUUAAAUGUAGAUUGACCGGUUUGGAAACAGACUUUUCGCAAGACAAUUUACAAGGUGCUGCAUGGUUGUCGUCAGCUCGUGCCGUGAGGUGUCAGGUUAAGUCCUAUAACGAGCGCAACCCCUGUUGUUAGUUGCCAGCGAGUCAUGUCGGGAACUCUAACAAGACUGCCAGUGCAAACUGUGAGGAAGGUGGGGAUGACGUCAAAUCAUCACGGCCCUUACGCCUUGGGC